CUUUAUGGCGGCUGUGUGCAGGGCAUCUUCGGAUGCGCCGGUUUUUGCUUAACUUCCCCGGUCUACUAACCUGCGCACAGCUGCCACCUAA
rnacentral:antisense_RNA from 1 species